CGGGUUGCAGCAGUGAGGAAUAUUGGUCAAUGGGCGCAAGCCUGAACCAGCCAUGCCGCGUGAAGGAUGAAGGCCUUCUGGGUUGUAAACUUCUUUUAUGGGGGAAGAAAAGCAUUGUUUCUACGAUGUCCGACGGUACCCUAGGAAUAAGCACCGGCUAACUCCGUGCCAGCAGCCGCGGUAAUACGGAGGGUGCAAGCGUUAUCCGGAUUUACUGGGUUUAAAGGGUGUGUAGGCGGGUCUUUAAGUCAGUGGUGAAAUCUCCGAGCUCAACUUGGAAACUGCCAUUGAUACUAUUGAUCUUGAAUUCUGUUGAGGUGGGCGGAAUAAAUCAUGUAGCGGUGAAAUGCAUAGAUAUGAUUUAGAACACCGAUUGCGAAGGCAGCUCACUAAGCAGACAUUGACGCUGAGGCACGAAAGCGUGGGGAUCAAACAGGAUUAGAUACCCGAGU
rnacentral:rRNA from 1 species